GCAGGGACACCUUUCAAGGUUAUUCCUCAAGCUUCAGAAAUCCCUUUCCACAACAGAUUUGUGCAGCACACAUGAUGGCAGAUGGAAAUGCAGUAUUCAUGUUUGAGAUUUGUUGUCUGCCCCCAUCGGAAUGGACCUUACGUUGGUGAAAAAACUGUUACAACACGAUGAUCUGUAUCACCUACUGAAACGCAUCCGAGACAAAGGACAAAGAACCCUCAUCACUGUUCAUCGUGAUACAGAAGAAAUAUGUCGUGUUCAGGAAAGAGUGAAAAGGGAUGGAGAACACCAUUGGUGGGAAACUCUUCUUGGACAGUCACCAACAGCAAUGGGAAUUUUUAAUCUCAUGUUUCAUCCAAUUGUGAUUUUUAUUAGCUCUACUGUUAUUAGGUCUAUUACUUAUAAUUGUAUUGUAUAUACAGAUUUGGUACAUGAUGAAACAAAUAACCCAAACGCAGAUACCCCAAAUGUAUAAAUUAGUACAUAGUAGCAAUACUUUAUGCUAAAAUGUUUACUUACCAUGGACCUGUGAGUGCAAAAACUAUAAAUACACUGUUUAUGGCACAGAGGCAAGAGGUGACCGUACCACCACUCUGUGAUGAUAAGAUGAAUUGACUA